rnacentral:rRNA from 1 species
AUUAACAGAAUGUAACUUCUUUAGAAUAGAGGUGAUACACCUACCGAGCUUAGAGAUAGCUGGUUAUUCAAGAAAAGGAUUUUAGUCCAUCUUUAAGUUUCCUCAGUUUUGUAAAACAUCUAAUAAACUUAAAAGUCAUUCAAAUAAGGGACAGCUUAUUUGAAAAAGGGCACAGCCUAUGACUCAGGGUAAUGACCUUCUCUCGUGACCAAGUUAGCCUUAAAGCAGCUACCUUUCAAAAAGCGUCCAAGCUUCAUCACAAAACCUUAUUAAUCCCACAAUCAACUCACAACCCCCAACCAUUACUGAAUAAUCUUAUAAUGUAUAAGAACUAUUAUGCUAGAACGAGUAACAAGAAGAAGACCUUCUCCAUAAUGUAAAUGUAAGCCAAAAUGAACACUCACCGGCACUUACCGCCAUAACCCUACAGUAUUAACAUCUCAGGAAAAAAAUACUUUACCCGACGUUAACCUUACACAAGCACAUUCCCGGAAAGAUUAAAAAAGGAGGAAGGAACUCGGCAAACGAUAGCCCCGCCUGUUUACCAAAAACAUCGCCUCUUGACUAAGUAUAAGAGGUCCAGCCUGCCCAGUGAUAUAUUAAACGGCCGCGGUACCCUAACCGUGCGAAGGUAGCACAAUCACUUGUUCUAUAAAUCAGGACUAGUAUGAACGGCCUCACGAGAGCUAUACUGUCUCCCUCCUUUAAUCAGUGAAACUGAUCUCCCCGUGAAGAAGCGGGGAUAUUAAUAUAAGACGAGAAGACCCCAUGGAGCUUUAAACUUGUACCACUGCCCUUACUACACCAAUUAAUUUAGGCACCAAUGACUACGAGUCUUUUGGCUGGGGCGACCACGAAGAAAAACUAAACCUUCAUGACGAAAGGAGCAAUCCUAAUUGGAGAGCUACUGCUCAAAGAAUCAAUAAACUGACCCAUUGACCCAAACAUUUUGACCCACGAACCAAGUUACCCUGGGGAUAACAGCGCAAUCCAUUUUAAGAGACCCCAUCAACAAAUGGGCUUACGACCUCGAUGUUGGAUCAGGGUAUCCUAGUGGUGCAGCCGCUACUAAAGGUUCGUUUGUUCAACGAUUAAAACCCU